UCAAAUCAAAAGACCCUAGGUCUCUAUCACUUAUAGUUUACCAGUUAGAAAUGCAUAUCACUGAUAUCAUAUAUAAAAGGGAGGGAUACUCUCAUAUGGAGUCUCCGGAUAGCUUCGGUUGAAAUGAAACAGAACAUCCUAAGGAUAUAACGAGCAAUUUGGAAAAAUAAAUUUGUCGGUUUCUUAUACGGUUGCGAAGGAGUAGUGGCCACAAGAAAAACAGUGUUCGGGGAGAUAACUCUUACAAGGUAAAGUUUUUUGUUACGCGGUGUCAGUUUCAGAAGCGUAUUAACUGUUCGAUAUCAUUUACCUUAUAUCUAAGCGAUAUCUUGCGAAACAAAAAAACAGCGAAGGAAAAAAAAGAGUGGCGAAGAAAAAAAAAAAUAAUAAUAAUAAAUAUAAAUCAAUUGCUUUAAAAAAGCAAUUGUAUAAAGGUCUUUCCCCCUUUGAAAUUGAUUAUAUAUGGGGGGGGGGAGGGGUCUGUUUAUUUGUUUGUUCGUUUGUUUGUUUCGGUAUGGGGUCUAUAGUAUUGUGUUACCGGAGAAGUUUCAUGCUUAGUUUGGAAAGUUUUUAUUUUAUAUUUAGGUACAGCGCGCGCGCCAGAUUGAGGAGACAUCACGUGACGCGGGUUUAUAAUAACGAAAACUUAGUCUUUUAAUUUCUUUUUAGGUCGGGACGUUAAACAGACAACAUGUGUAGAGAUGGAAUGUACACAAUGUAAUUUCUUUUGUCAUUGUAGGAAAUUGACAUUUUGAUCACAGGUCACGGGCAGUGCAUGUUUUGGAUUUAAUCGAUCCGGUGUAACUUUAAAACACAUUUAAUGAUUAUUUUCUGAUAAUGUACAUUUUUCAGCACCUGUUUGUAACACAGAUUAGUAUUUCAAUCUCGGAGCGGACAUUUUAUUGUAGGUUUUUACUGAGAUUUACGGACCUAGCAAGCGAUUUUUACGGCAUUGCCAUUUCUGUUC
rnacentral:lncRNA from 1 species